rnacentral:rRNA from 1 species
GAUGAACGCUCGCGAUAGGCUUAACACAUGCAAGUCGAGGGGCAGCAUGGUCUUAGCUUGCUAAGGCUGAUGGCGACCGGCGCACGGGUGCGUAACGCGUAUGCAACUUGCCUCACAGAGGGGGAUAACCCGUCGAAAGACGGACUAAUACCGCGUACACUCUAUGUUGGGCAUCCAAUGUAGAGGAAAUGAAAUUCGCUGUGAGAUAGGCAUGCGUCCCAUUAGCUAGUUGGUGAGGUAACGGCUCACCAAGGCGACGAUGGGUAGGGGAACUGAGAGGUUGAACCCCCACACUGGUACUGAGACACGGACCAGACUCCUACGGGAGGCAGCAGUGAGGAAUAUUGGUCAAUGGGCGAGAGCCUGAACCAGCCAAGUCGCGUGAAGGAUGACUGUCUUAUGGAUGGUAAACUUCUUUUAUACGGGAAUAACAAGAGUCACGUGUGGCUCCCUGCAUGUACCGUAUGAAUAAGCAUCGGCUAACUCCGUG